rnacentral:misc_RNA from 1 species
GAUGAAGAACGCAGCGAAAUGCGAUAAGUAAUGUGAAUUGCAGAAUUCAGUGAAUCAUCGAAUCUUUGAAUGCACAUUGCGCCCGCUAGUAUUCUGGCGGGCAUGCCUGUCCGAGCGUCAUUUCAACCCUCAAGCCCCCGGGCUUGGUGUUGGGGAUCGGCGAGCCUCCGCGCCCGCCGUCCCCUAAAUCUAGUGGCGGUCUCGCUGUAGCUUCCUCUGCGUAGUAGCACACCUCGCACUGGGAAACAGCGCGGCCACGCCGUUAAACCCCCAACUUCUGAACGUUUGACCUCGGAUCAGGUAGGAAUACCCGCUGAACUUAAGCAUAUCAAUAAGCGGAGGA